CCUACGGGACGCAGCAGUGGGGGAUAUUGCACAAUGGGGGGAACCCUGAUGCAGCGACGCCGCGUGGGUGAAGGAGCGUUUCGGCGCGUAAAGCCCUAUCGGCAGGGAAGAAAAUGACGGUACCUGAAGAAGAAGCCCCGGCUAACUACGUGCCAGCAGCCGCGGUAAUACGUAGGGGGCAAGCGUUAUCCGGAUUUACUGGGUGUAAAGGGGGCGCAGACGGCGAUGCAAGCCAGGAGUGAAAGCCCGGGGCCCAACCCCGGGACUGCUCUUGGAACUGCGGGGCUGGAGGUCAGGAGGGGCAG
rnacentral:rRNA from 1 species